GAUGAAGAACGCAGUGAAAUGCGAUAAGUAAUGUGAAUUGCAGAAUUCAGUGAAUCAUCGAAUCUUUGAACGCACAUUGCGCCCCCUGGUAUUCCGGGGGGCAUGCCUGUCCGAGCGUCAUUACAACCCUCAAGCUCAGCUUGGUGUUGGGCCCCGCCGCCCCGGCGGGCCCUAAAGUCAGUGGCGGUGCCGUCCGGCUCCGAGCGUAGUAAUUCUUCUCGCUCUGGAGGUCCGGUCGUGUGCUCGCCAGCAACCCCCAAUUUUUUCAGGUUGACCUCGGAUCAGGUAGGGAUACCCGCUGAACUUAAGCAUAUCAAUAAGCGGAGGA
rnacentral:misc_RNA from 1 species